GGGCAUUGUGGACCAUUGUCUAACAGGAAUGGUUCUCUCAGAACUGACUCAGGAAAUGGAUCUGGUUGAUUAUUCAAGACCUUCAGCAAAGCCUUGUAAAAGAGUUGCCUCAUUUCGUGACACCUCUUUGAAGGACAUACCGAUGUUUGUGUGCUCUUUUGAAGGAGAUCCCACUCUGUUCUUAUCCAAUCUCCCUGCAAUUUACCCAGGAAAAGAAAAUCGGGAUUGGCUUUGGUGGGCCUGGGAUCCUCUGGUGUUGAUGGAAAGCUCCAGCACCUCUUGCACAAUUCCUCUCCUCGUGAGGCAGCCAGAGCCUUCCCCUGUGGGUGUGUGGAGGAAGGAACAGCCCAGCACAACUGCCUGUGGUUUAUCAGACACAGCAGGUUUGUGCUUUUCCAGCUACAGGAUGGCAGGGAAGCACUGAGUAGUGCCCACCAUGAAAAAUCCAAAUUCACUGAACAGCCCAUGCUGAAUUAAAUAGAAGGUAAGUGUUAGUAAUACAGAAGUCAAAAUAAGUAAUUCUUAGUAACAAAACCUUGGCAAACUUUAAAUCAUAAUUUCUGUCCUUUAACUACUUCUGGAAAUUUCUUUAUUGAAUUGCUCCAUUACCUGGAAAUUCUGUACAGCAA
rnacentral:lncRNA from 1 species